rnacentral:tRNA from 1 species
UAGCAACUUAGUUCAAUGGGAGAACAAAGCGUGUACAGUUAAACAAUGUGCUUGAGAAGGUGGUUCGAUUCCAUCAGUUGCUGU